AUUGAACGCUGGCGGCAUGCCUUACACAUGCAAGUCGAACGGCAGCACGGGAGCAAUCCUGGUGGCGAGUGGCGAACGGGUGAGUAAAGUAUCGGAACGUGCCCAGUCGUGGGGGAUAACCUAGCGAAAGUUACGCUAAUACCGCAUACGAUCUAUGGAUGAAAGCGGGGGAUCGCAAGACCUCGCGCGAUUGGAGCGGCCGAUAUCAGAUUAGGUAGUUGGUGGGGUAAAGGCGCACCAAGCCGACGAUCUGUAGCUGGUCUGGGAGGACGACCAGCCACCCUGGGACUGAGACACGGCCCAGACUCCUCCGGGAGGCAGCAGUGGGGAAUUUUGGAAAAUGGGCGCAAGCCUGAUCCAGCCAUGCCGCGUGCAGGAUGAAGGCCUUCGGGUUGUAAACUGCUUUUGUACGGAACGAAAAGGUUUGACUUAAUACGUUGGACUCAUGACGGUACCGUAAGAAUAAGCACCGGCUAACUACGUGCCAGCAGCCGCCGUAA
rnacentral:rRNA from 1 species